rnacentral:tRNA from 3 species
CGGGGUGUGGCUCAGCUUGGCUAGAGCGCCUGCUUUGGGAGCAGGAGGUCGCAGGUUCGAAUCCUGUCACCCCGA